rnacentral:rRNA from 1 species
UACGAGGGGGGCAAGCGUUGUUCGGAAUUACUGGGCGUAAAGGGCGCGUAGGCGGCGAACCAAGUCAGAUGUGAAAGUCCUGGGCUUAACCUGGGGACUGCAUUUGAUACUGGUUUGCUUGAAUUCGGGAGAGGAUAGCGGAAUUCCCAGUGUAGAGGUGAAAUUCGUAGAUAUUGGGAAGAACACCGGUGGCGAAGGCGGCUAUCUGGACCGACAUUGACGCUGAGGCGCGAAAGCGUGGGGAGCAAACAGG